rnacentral:rRNA from 1 species
GACGAACGCUGGCGGCGUGCUUAACACAUGCAAGUCGAGCGGUAAGGCCCUUUCGGGGGUACGACGAGCGGCGAACGGGUAGAGUAACACGUGGGUGGACCUGCCCUCCAGCUCUGGGAGUAAGCCCGGGAAACGUAGGGUCGUAAUAACUGGAUAUUACUCUGCGGUGCAUGCCGUGGGGUGGAAGCCUUGUGCGGCUGGGGAGUGGGCCCGCGGCCUAUCAGCUUGUUGGUGGGGUGAUGGCCUACCAAGGCGACGACGGGUAGCCGGCCUGAGAGGGCGACCGGCCGACACUGGGACUGAGACACGGCCCAGACUCCUACGGGAGGCAGCAGUGGGGAAUCUUGCGCAAUGGGCGAAAGCCUGACGCAGCGACGCCGCGUGAGGGAUGACGGCCUGGU